UAAGGAAUAUUGGUCAAUGGACGCAAGUCUGAACCAGCCAUGCCGCGUGAAGGAUGAAGGUCCUCUGGAUUGUAAACUUCUUUUAUCUGGGACGAAAACGGGAUUUUUAUCUCAAUUGACGGUACCAGAGGAAUAAGCACCGGCUAACUCCGUGCCAGCAGCCGCGGUAAUACGGAGGGUGCGAGCGUUAUCGGGAUUUACUGGGUUUAAAGGGUGCGUAGGUGGGCUUAUAAGUCAGUGGUGAAAUCUCCGAGCUUAACUUGGAAACUGCCGUUGAUACUAUAGGUCUUGAAUUAUCUGGAGGUAAGCGGAAUAUGUCAUGUAGCGGUGAAAUGCUUAGAUAUGACAUAGAACACCAAUUGCGAAGGCAGCUUACUACAUAUAAAUUGACGCGGAGGCACGAAAGCGUGGGGAUCAAACA
rnacentral:rRNA from 1 species